rnacentral:rRNA from 1 species
AGCGAACGCUGGCGGCAGGCCUAACACAUGCAAGUCGAACGGAUCCUUCGGGAUCAGUGGCGGACGGGUGAGUAACACGUGGGAACGUGCCCUUUGGUUCGGAACAACUCAGGGAAACUUGAGCUAAUACCGGAUGUGCCCUUCGGGGGAAAGAUUUAUCGCCAUUGGAGCGGCCCGCGUCUGAUUAGCUAGUUGGUGAGGUAAAGGCUCACCAAGGCGACGAUCAGUAGCUGGUCUGAGGGGAUGAUCAGCCACAUUGGGACUGAGACACGGCCCAAACUCCUACGGGAGGCAGCAGUGGGGAAUCUUGCGCAAUGGGCGAAAGCCUGACGCAGCCAUGCCGCGUGAAUGAUGAAGGUCUUAGGAUUGUAAAAUUCUUUCACCGGGGACGAUAAUGACGGUACCCGGAGAAGAAGCCCCGGCUAACUUCGUGCCAGCCGCCGCAGUAACAC